rnacentral:rRNA from 1 species
AUUGAACGCUGGCGGCAGGCCUAACACAUGCAAGUCGAACGGUAACAGGAAGAAGCUUGCUUCUUUGCUGACGAGUGGCGGACGGGUGAGUAAUGUCUGGGAAACUGCCUGAUGGAGGGGGAUAACUACUGGAAACGGUAGCUAAUACCGCAUAACGUCGCAAGACCAAAAAGGGGGACCUUCGGGCCUCUUGCCAUCGGAUGUGCCCAGAUGGGAUUAGCUAGUAGGUGGGGUAACGGCUCACCUGGGCGACGAUCCCUAGCUGGUCUGAGAGGAUGACCAGCCACACUGGAACUGAGACACGGUCCAGACUCCUACGGGAGGCAGCAGUGGGGAAUAUUGCACAAUGGGCGCAAGCCUGAUGCAGCCAUGCCGCGUGUAUGAAGAAGGCCUUCGGGUUGUAAAGUACUUUCAGCGGGGAGGAAGGGAGUAAAGUUAAUACCUUUGCUCAUUGACGUUACCCGCAGAAGAAGCACCGGCUAACUCCGU